CCGGGACCAGCUGGGCCUCGCCCCCACUUCCGCUUCCGCCCAGCCGCAGGGCAACCUGGGACGCGUAGUUUCCGCGGCUGGGGCGGGUGUGAUGUCAAGGGGGCGCCGGAAGUGCGGCGGCGGGUCGUCCGCUUUCGGGUUCCCCCGCCCGGACCGGCCCACCCCACUUCCGGGCGGUGCUGCUGCGCCGGGAGCCCGGGGGAGCGUGGAGACGCGGCCCUAGGGCCCUGGCUCCGGCGCCGCCGGCCGUCCACCUGUCCGGGGCAGGCUGUCUGUGCCCGGGGCCUGCGGGGCUGUUCCGCGCUGCUCCCCAGCUCCGGGGGCUGGCUCGCUGAGCUCGGGUCCGGGCCCCUCUUGAAGCACCUUUGACCCUGGCUCCUGCCCCCGUGUUUGCAUCGGUUGCCCCAGGACCCGGCCGGGCGCUCAGGGACCCCCUCCGAGUCCCCCCGCUGACCUCAGAGCGGUGCUGCCGCUCGGGGCGUCGGGCCUGGCGGAGGCUGCUCUGCAGGAUCCUUCAGGACGAUGCUGCACGUGGCGCGAGCUCCUGCAGGAGCUGCCGGCCCAGCGCCACGGUGGUUCUGCACUCAUGGAACAGGCCUGGGCAGAGCGUGGGAUCUCCUGGCUGCAGGCAGACCAGCAGUAUCAAAGAAGGGGGGAGCUGGAAGGGAUGCACAGAGAUCACAUUGUAUCCAGUCUGACCCCUGCCUGAGGCAGAAUCGGCCCCAUCCAGCCCAGCUCAGACAAACCCCAUGUCUGACCUCAGAGCCACACAACAACACAGUCAUUCCUGACAGUUCCAGGCAUCGCCCCUGCUCCGGGAAAGGGAGUGCUGCAGCCACCGACAUUCUGCUUCUAUUAAAAGUUAAUAUACAGUUGUCUUCGGCAGUCCCUUGCAGUCGAGGAUGAUUGUGUUCCAUGAUUUUCUUAUCUGUGGGUCUGAAGAUGGCUGAUGAGGCCAGUCCAGGUUUGACAGACCUGCAGUGUGUAUGCUGUAUGCUCAAGAGACCCCAGGCAGAGGCCGUGUCCCACCUGCCGAGGAAGGCAAACACCCUGCACCCCAAACCGAUCUGACCGGGGGUGGUGGGGAAAUCCCUUCCUGCCCCUAGUGCAGCAUUGGGCUGAGCCUGAGCACAGGGGCAAGAUCCUCCAGCCAGGACUCUGCAAGAUUGGUUCCAGUGGGAGCAUUGACACAGCCAGUCCUCACCCCCAGCCUGGGCCAUACACAGCACCCAGCACUGCUGGGAAAAGGGGAAUAGACCCCUGACACUUGCGCCUCAUACGGCAGCCAGGAAAGCCCAAAAGCCUGGGAAACACCAGACACCUCAGCUCUGCCUUGCAGCCUGCGGACAGCCAGCAGGAUCCACCCAUCACCCCCUCUUGCUGCACUGCCAGAGCUCCCCUGUCCAUGUCCCCUCGACAAACGUAUCCCAGCUGCUUUCUUCUGAGCUGGGUGUGGAGCUCUGCUUCAACCUGCUAUCAUAAGCAGGGCCCUCUGCAGUACCCACCUGCUGCAAGUUGUAGAGAUCUUUAUCUCCCAGCAGUCUCUGUGGGGGGGGGGGGCGCAUCCCUAGGCUUCAGACGAACAGCAGUCCAGGGAGGCCUUCCUCCCAAAUGAGCAGAGAGCUGCCAAGCUGGAAGAAGCAGCAACAGCUCUGAGGCCUGUGAAGGAGCCAGUAGCUGCUGAAACAGGUGGGUGCAGGGAGCCACUUGGAAGGACAGAGGCUUCCUGGGUGCAGUGAACGGCUGGUUCACAUCUGCCUGCACCGCUGAGGCUGUUGGGAACAUCCCUGCCCUGGAC
ensembl:lncRNA